rnacentral:rRNA from 1 species
GCACAAUGGGCGCAAGCCUGAUGCAGCCAUGCCGCGUGUGUGAAGAAGGCCUUCCGGGUUGUAAAGCACUUUCAGUUUGUGAGGAAGGUGGUUGUCGUUAAUAGCGGCAUCAUUUGACGUUAGCAACAGAAGAAGCACCGGCUAACUCCGUGCCAGCAGCCGCGGUAAUACGGAGGGUGCGAGCGUUAAUCGGAAUUACUGGGCGUUAAAGCGCAUGCAGGUGGUUUGUUAAGUCAAGAUGUGAAAGCCCGGGGCUCAACCUCGGAACUGCAUUUGAAACUGGCAGACUAGAGUACUGUAGAGGGGGUAGAAUUUCAGGUGUAGCGGUGAAAAUGCGUAGAGAUCUGAAGGAAUACCGGUGGCGAAGGCGGCCCCCUGGACAGAUACUGACACUCAGAUGCGAAAGCGUGGGGAGCAAACAGGAUUAGAUACCCUGGUAG